rnacentral:rRNA from 1 species
GACGAACGCUGGCGGCGUGCUUAACACAUGCAAGUCGAACGGAAAGGCCCUGCUUUUGUGGGGUGCUCGAGUGGCGAACGGGGGAGUAACACGUGAGUAACCUGCCCUUGACUUUGGGAGAACUUCAGGAAACUGGGGCUAAUAUCGGAUAGGAGCUCCUGCAGCAUGGUGGGGGUUGGAAAGUUUCUGCCGUUGGGGAUGGACUCGCGGCUGAUGAGCUUGUUGGUGGGGUAGGGGCAUACCAAGGCUUUGACUGGUAGGCGGCCGGGGAGGGUGGACGGCCACCAUGGGCCUGCGAGACGGCGCAGUCUCCAACGUGAGGCAGCAGGCGGGAGCAUUGCCCAGUGAGCGCAAGCCUGUUGCAGCGGCCCCGCGUGCGGAAUGCCGGCCUUCGGGUUGUGAACCGCUUUAGGCUGUGACGAAGCGUUAGUGACGGUACCGAAUAAAUAAGCACCGGCUAACUACGUG